rnacentral:rRNA from 1 species
GCCAGACUCCUACGGGAGGCAGCAGUGAGGAAUAUUGGUCAAUGGGAGAGAUCCUGAACCAGCCAAGCCGCGUGAGGGAAGACGGCCCUAUGGGUUGUAAACCUCUUUUGUCGGAGAACAAAACCCGGGACGUGUCCCGGACUGCGUGUAUCCGAAGAAAAAGCAUCGGCUAACUCCGUGCCAGCAGCCGCGGUAAUACGGAGGAUGCGAGCGUUAUCCGGAUUUACCGGGUGUAAAGGGAGCGUAGACGGUUAUGUAAGUCUGGAGUGAAAGCCCGGGGCCCAACCCCGGGACUGCUUUGGAAACCGUGUAACUGGAGUGCAGGAGGGGCAGGCGGAAUUCCUGGUGUAGCGGUGAAAUGCGUAGAUAUCAGGAGGAACACCGGCGGCGAAGGCGGCCUGCUGGACUGAAACUGACGUUGAGGCUCGAAAGCGUGGGGAGCAAACAGGAUUAGAUACCCUUGUAA